GUGACAGCAAGACUCCGUCUCAAAAAAGAAUGCCAGAAUACCUAAGUAGAGCUGUAAGAUCAACCACCUCACACUAAAGACAUUGAGUGCACAAAACUUAGUGCUAAAUAAAUUCUGAGGAACAAGUGAAGUAAUGACUCCUAGCAAACAAUGAGAAGUGCUGGUAACCUUGUUAACGCCAACAAGCAACUCACUACGAAGUCCAGUCUGAUUUUUUUUUUUUUUUUUUUUUUUUUUUGAGACAGAGUCUCGCUCUGUCUCCCAGGCUGGGGUGCAGUGUCACCAUCUCAGCU
rnacentral:lncRNA from 1 species